GACGUAGGGCGCGAGCGCUGUCCGGAUUUAUUGGGCGUAAAGAGCUCGUAGGCGGCUUGUCGCGUCGUCCGUGAAAACUUGGGGCUCAACCCCAAGCUUGCGGUCGAUACGGGCAGGCUCGAGUUCGGUAGGGGAGACUGGAAUUCCUGGUGUAGCGGUGAAAUGCGCAGAUAUCAGGAGGAACACCGGUGGCGAAGGCGGGUCUCUGGGCCGAUACUGACGCUGAGGAGCGAAAGCGUGGGGAGCGAACAGG
rnacentral:rRNA from 1 species